rnacentral:rRNA from 1 species
CAGUAGCCGCGGUAAUACGGAGGGAGCUAGCGUUGUUCGGAAUUACUGGGCGUAAAGCGCACGUAGGCGGCUUUGUAAGUUAGAGGUGAAAGCCUGGAGCUCAACUCCAGAAUUGCCUUUAAGACUGCAUCGCUUGAAUCCAGGAGAGGUGAGUGGAAUUCCGAGUGUAGAGGUGAAAUUCGUAGAUAUUCGGAAGAACACCAGUGGCGAAGGCGGCUCACUGGACUGGUAUUGACGCUGAGGUGCGAAAGCGUGGGGAGCAAACAGGAUUAGAUACCCCGGUAGUCCCUGUCUCUUAUAC